CUUGUCCUCAUAUGUAAGUCGCUUUGGAUAAAAGCGUCUGCUAAAUGACUAAAU
rfam:Danio rerio chromosome 5, GRCz11 reference primary assembly.